GUGUUGAUGGAAGGUAUAAUGUAAAGGUGUAAUAGUUUAAAGGGAAGGUAUAAUAUUGUUAAGGGAAGGUGUAAUGGUGUAAUAGUUUUGAGGGAAGGUGUAAUAUUGUUAAGGGAAGGUGUAAUGUUAAAGGUGUAAUAGUGUUGAGGGAAGGUAUAAUAUUGUUAAGGGAAGGUGUAAUGGUGUAAUAGUUUUGAGGGAAGGUGUAAUAUUGUUAAGGGAAGGUGUAAUGUUAAAGGUGUAAUAGUGUUGAGGGAAGGUAUAAUAUUGUUAAGGGAAGGUGUAAUGGUGUAAUAGUUUUGAGGGAAGGUGUAAUAGUGUUGAGGGAAGGUGUAAUGUUAAAGGUGUAAUAGUGUUGAGGGAAGGUAUAAUAUUGUUAAGGGAAGGUGUAAUGUAAAGCUGUAAUAGUUUUAAGGGAAGGUAAAUGUUUAGUGAAAUUGUUAUGGUGUGAAUCUAAGGUGUAUGUUAUGUUGAUGUAAAAUAAAGGCAUUAACCCCAAA